CCGCCGGAGCUGGGAGACCUCAUCAAGGGCCCGCCUCCCAGCCGGGAAAGAGGAGUGGACUCGGGAUUGCCUGGGCAGUGGGGCAGGACCGCGCGUGUGGCUGCCUAGGGCGCCCCAGAGGCUUUGUAGGGGCGCGCUGUGCGCGGCUCCGGGGACUGGUGGUCCCUACGCGGCUGGGCAUUGCGCGGAUGGCCCUGCUUCGGUGUCCCGCACUCGCUUUCCUCCUCCUGGUCCACACUGCGGUGCUCAGGUGCCAGGAAGAGGCUCAGACCACCGACUGGAGGGCCACCCUAAAGACUAUCCGGAACGGCGUUCACAAGAUCGAUAUGUACCUAAACGCCGCCUUGGACCUCCUGGGAGGCGAGGAUGGUCUCUGUCAGUAUAAGUGCAGUGACGGAUCUAAGCCUUUCCCACGCUAUGGUUUUAAACCCUCCCCGCCGAAUGGAUGUGGCUCUCCACUAUUUGGUGUUCACCUUAAUAUCGGCAUCCCUUCCCUGACAAAGUGCUGCAACCACCACGACAGGUGCUAUGAGACCUGCGGCAAGAGCAAGAACGACUGUGACGAGGAGUUCCAGUACUGCCUCUCCAAGAUCUGCCGGGAGGUGCAGAAAACUCUAGGACUCACUCAGCAUGUCCAGGCCUGUGAAACAGCAGUGGAGCUCUUGUUUGACAGUGUUAUACACUUAGGCUGUAAACCGUACCUGGACAGCCAACGAGCCGCCUGUUGGUGUCGCUAUGAAGAAAAAACCGAUCUUUAAAGAAGAUGCUGACAGGUGGUGCCAGUGAGGAUGAAAGAACAUAACCUUUGGCAAAGAACUAAUGGUUUUUACAGCAUGAAACUGCCUGAUUCUUAUUGAUCCAAUCAAGAACACCACACUGCAUUUAGUCAUGUCUGCUCAACCUCUGGUCUAUGAUGGUUCAUCAGUCUUUCCUUGUUUUUCAUAAACUUGGUAGUUUUAAAAAGUAUUGGUCAGAUGUCCUGUAGAAUGCCCCUCAGUUUGGGUUUGUCUGAUGUUUUCCUCAUGAUUGGACUGUGGUUAUGGAUUUGAGGAGGAAAAUCAGAGGUGAAGGGUUCUCGGUAAAUCAUAUGAGGAGUUGAAUACUGUCAAGUUGAUGUUGUGAUAACUUUAGAUACUUGGCUAAGGUAGUGUCUGUUAGCUAUCUCCACUGUAGAUACUUGGCUAAGGUAGUGUCUGUUAGCUAUCUCCACUGUACAGUUACCAUUUUCCCUUUUCAUACUUUCGUUCUUUGGAGGCCAGUCAUCAAGUUCAGUCUAUGGGAAGUGAAGGGGGGGCAAGAUGACCUUCUAUCCCCUGGAAGGGGGCGUAUCUAUGUGUAGUGCUUGGAAUUCUUCUGUAACAAAGAUUUGUGGCCCCCCCCCAUUUACUUACUUAGUUAUUUAUAGCAGUAUGGACUCAUGUAUACUUCUUUUAUGCUCUGGAUAAUGUUUAUUUUGUUGCUCAAAUCAUUCUAGCUUGGCUAUUGGGAGUUCAGUCAGGUUGGCCCCUGGGUCUCUGAUAUGCCCAUCCUUUGGGUCUCUGAGCAUUUCCACAGUUUCCGGCAAGAAAGUAGGAAAGUUGCUCCAGGCUCAUCCUGCAUAUUCCCAGCCCUAACGCCAGCCUCUUCGGUUCCUUUUACUGGAGAUUGGUUUCUGAUGAACCUUAGAAACCAAGAUCUGGACACUGGAUGUGCUUGUGGCUACCGAAUACCACUGCUUCUAGACACUCCCAGCAAACAGAGCUAUGAAAUAUAUACAGGGUGGGACAAAAGUAAGUUUACGGUUCACGUGGAAAAUAAUAUAGUAAUUAAGAAAUAAUAAUACAAGAGUAAACUCUGUUUUUCAUGUACUCACAACUGUAAACCUACUUUUACCCCUCCCUGUAUAUAUGUCAACAUGUACACACCUGAAAUUAGCUGUGUGUACAUAAAUAUACAUACAUUUGAGUUUGUAUUGAUGUUUUCACUUGAAUUCUGUGCCAUGGGGCAUAUAUUUAUAUUUUAAGAGUGGUAUUUUCCCUAUCCACAGAAUACAUUUUAAAAAAAGCAAAAUUUUUAAGAUUUUAAUUACUUUCAGAAAGAGGGGAAGGGAGGGAGAGGGACACUGAUGUGUGAGAGAAACAUCGAUCGGUUGCCUCUGGCACGGCCCCAGCCAGUGACCUGGCCCAUAACCCAGGCAUGUGUCCUGACCAGGAAUCGAACUGGUCACCUUUUGUUUCACAGGCCAGUGCCCAAUCCACUGAGCCACACCAGCUGGAACAAAAAGCCAAAGAGUUUUUAAAACCAACCCCCAAAGCUAGUUUUAGCAGCUCUUUGUAAGAAAUAUGAUAUUGAUCUUUGAAAAUAAUAAAACUACAUUGCUUUAAAAUAAUGCAUGUCUCUUCAAAAGCUUUUGACACACUUCUUCCAGGAACAGAUAUGGCUGCACUCAUUUCAUGGUGAGGUCAAGAGCGAAUUAAGCACAUCUUAGGGAGCAGUCUUCCUUUCACUGAAGUCCUAACCAGACUGGUAAUACUAAUUAAGAAGUUUUGGUAACUUAUAACUAAUUCUCCCUAAUUAAGUACAAAGUGCUAUUUCUGUUAGUAUUUAUAGAAGUACAAGAUUACAAGGUCAUUUUAUCCUGGUACAAAAUAAGAAUAACAUUUAAUGAAAUGAAGACAGUGGAGUCUUUCUGUAAAAACAAUGUUUAGUAGACUGACUAAAGGCACUUUGUGGAGUAGAAUGAGAUGUAUCAGGUAAGAUCCACCCACAUGUACUAUAUUGCGCUGUUCUAAAAUUUGCUGAUAUUACCUGCUAUAUAUUUAUUCAAACUUGUGUAAUGACUGGCUGUACUUGAAGUAGUCCCUUCAGUUUGCGAUUUUUUUCUCUGCUUUACCUUACAAAAACAGCCACCUGCUCAAAUCAUAAGUGCAAGAAUGAACCAGUGCUAUAAACACAUGAAAAAUAAUUUUAAAUAAAAAUAAUGAAAACUGGGUCAAUAGUAUCAUCUUUGCAGAUAAGCGACAGUUGUUUGUUUCCCACAGCCUUAUUAGGUUUCCCCCAAAAUUUUCAGAGCCUUGCUGACAACUUUUCAAACAUUUCUUUGUUGGCUCUCAAGUUUGAAGUGUAAGC